rnacentral:rRNA from 1 species
UACGUAGGAUGCAAGCGUUGUCCGGAAUUAUUGGGCGUAAAGAGUUCGUAGGUGGUUAUCUAAGUCUGGUGUUAAAGACGGGAGCUCAACUCCCGCAUGGCAUCGGAAACUGGAUGGCUAGAGUGUGAAAGAGGUAACUGGAAUUCCUAGUGUAGCGGUGAAAUGCGCAGAUAUUAGGAGGAACACCAAUUGCGAAGGCAGCUAGCUGGGAUGUUACUGACGCUGAGACGCGAAAGCGUGGGGAGCAAACAGG